AGGGCAUGCAUCCAAAGAGAUAACUGUGAUGGAAGACAGUUACACAUCCCAGAUGGAAUAAAUACCUACAUUUUUUUGCAGCUGGACAAAAGCUGGAUAUUGAAAGAAAUGUGAAGAAAUUGUGUCAAAUCCUGACAAGGUUAGCCUGUAACAUUCCUGAUAGAAACAAAACCACUGAAAAUGACAAAAAAAAAAAUUGCUAGCUGCGGUGUUUGAAAUGGGCCUGCUAAGGAAAAUGCUGAACUUCAUGUGGAAGUUCAAUGGGCAAGUGUGGAAGCAGGACAAUAAGUAUGAGGUCAUUGCAUCUGAUGAUUGUAUUGGCCCACACUUAGGAUAUCCAGUCCUGUGAAUUUCAGAACUCAAUGCUGAAACUGGAGACAUAGUGCGGAAAGCUCCAUUCUUCAUUGAUCACAGAGGUUCCAGUUCAAUUCAUCAGCAAACCUGAGAAUACCCAAAAGAAAGAGGGAAAAUCCUGUCUGGAAUGUGUGCUGAUUUUGGAAGAUGUCGCUCUGAAAGAGAUGAGGAAUUGGUGGGUGAUUGAAAGAUUUCAAGUACACCAGGAAUCAUGAAGGGAACAGACCAGAGCUUAUCGUAAUGUUGAUGAGCCAAGUGACUCAGGAACUUGUAUAGGCAUUGCUGUGUAAGACAGUGAACCUAACGACUGCUACAGCAGCUCCAGUGUAACUGGGAAGGUUCCUGAAGCAUGAUAGAAUGCAUGUUCAGCCAUGCAGGGCCUGGAUUUCCCAGCACACCUUUAACCACUUGUUGCAAAGGAUCCCAUCAGUAUAUAUCUUCAACUAUUGAAUGUCCAGUUUUUCUAAACAUGUAUGCUAUGACAAGAUCUAUGCAUUUAUGACCGAAGUCUGAAGCAGUGUGGCAAACUUCAUCCUGACUCAGUAUUUGACAUCUUGAAAAAAGAACACUUCUAUCUUCACAUAUGCAAACAUAGACCUGCCAGUAAAGUAGUAUGUCACAGUCCUCCUGUCAUAGAGCCUGCAGAAGUCCUGACAGUCCUCUACCUGGUGGAUUUUUCCAGCUCCGACAUUUUUUCAGCCUGGCAGGAACCAAACAAUGAAGCUGUGCCAUCAGGAUACAUACUAGAGGAUAUAAGCAGAGAACACCAAGAAUGGACCAAGUGCACCAAGAUCCCUAUCUUUAGUACCACUUAACACUGCAGGAGGCUUGCAGGACAGUGUGGGAAAAGCAAUGGAGUUACAGGUUUGACCUGACUGUGAGACUGAAGAGCCACAUGGUGCUUCGUGCUGGAACAGCACAGUGCAUUCAUACAUCUUUGUCCAUACAAACUUGCUUGCUCCUAGGAGAAAUUUUCAUUACUGUAAUGAUCUGCUGGGAGUGGGAGGUUUAGAGAUCUUUGCGUUGUAUUUUGUACAUUGUCUCUUCAGAGUGCUUUUUAAAACUAGCAACCAUAUUUUUUCAUCAGAAAGGAAUUACGUACAGCAAGCUGCUAAUCAGGUUCCUCAAGCCAGAAGAAAUCAAGGAGAAAGUACUUUAAUUAAACACAUAAAGACUCUGGAAGGGAGGAGCUGAAGUGAAAGAAUUUUGUCCCAGAAAAGAACACAGGGAUCAUUCCAAACAGGAGAAAUCAAUACUUAAAUCUGCAAAUUAAUUCUUCGAUUUCCUCUGAUCAACUACUAAUCUCAGCUGGCUUGAGAAAGUCCCAGAAACUGUGACACUAAAAUAGAAUUACAGCCAAGAUGAAGAAGAGAACUAGCAGACAUAUUAUGAUAUCCUGAAAGAUGAUAUCAGUACUGCCACACAGUUCACACAGCCACAGAAAAAUCUACAGCAAUAAGUACACCAUCACAGGCCUGCUUCCAGGAAGGAAAUACUUUUUCUGAGUCAUUGCCCACAAUAACACUGGGGACAUUGACCCUUUGGAUUCAAAGAAGCUGCAGUACAUCUCCAAAGACAAAGGCUCAUGCCUGGAGCUUGCUAUCACCAUGUGACUUCAAAACCCACCACAUCAACCUCCAAGGUGAGGAUAUCACUUCCUUAGCUGACUAAUAUAACAGCAUCAAUCACAUGUUGCUUUGUUCAAGCAUUACACUAAUAAUACACUGUCCAUAUUGCAGGAAAUGCUUUGACUCAGGGGCCUGUUGCGUAAGUACAGACAGAAAAAUGCAGCAUGAGCACUGGGCUACUCACAACAAAGCCACAGCAGAGAUGGGAUAGAGAGCCAUACAGUCUGCAGGCUGGGCCUGCUCUUACCAUACACUCGUCUGGGACCAUUCUGAACAGCUAUAAGAUAUAUAUUGUGUUCAGAGUCCCUCCUGUGGCACUUCUGCAUUUCAGUGCAGGUGUGGACAAUCUCAGGUGAGAAACAAAGCUACUAUUUUAUUUUCUCCUGUGGCUAAUGGUUAAAGCAAGGAGCAAAGGAAGAGACAGUGACUGUCUGGUGCACCUAUAGUGUUGAUGAGCUAUGUCCAGGGAAGUCUGCAACUAAGGCAGUGCAAACUCCAGAGAACCUCUUCAAGCACACUCGAUCUUCUCAUUUCUUUAGUCAAGCAAGAUUUAGCCACUUAGUAUCACAGCAGCUUCCCACUACUCAUGGCCACAAAGCAUGAAGGCCUUAUACAGUGAAAGAGGACAUGGGGAAAAAUUUAGACGGAUCAGAGCUGAGUUUACACUGCAAAAGUCCAUCCACGUGUGCAGUGCUGCAGUUGCUUAUUUCAAGCAAGGACCCCAUGCUCCAGAAACAUGAAAAAGAAUUGCUGGUCUAUUUUUUUUUUCCAAAUCACCCGGCCCUACUUCUGCUUCCUGUACCGUGAAACAUCCUUGCUGUGACACAAAAACAGUGCUCAUCUUCCUUCGGCAUAUUAUGUUUUGGUGCAGACACCUGGAACGACUGGAGGCUAUAGAGCAAAUAUCUCCACGCUUACAGUGCUCAGUUAAAAAAGCAUAUACUCAUCAAAAUUCAGGAGGUCUUACAGCCAUAAGCAAAGGGAAUAGAGUGAAAUUGGAAGACAGACAGAAGCAGUGGAGGGCAUCUUUACAUAUGGUAUCUAAAAGGGAAUGCCAUCUCCCUUUAGUCUUACAGCAAGACUAUAAAUAAAGGGCAUCCCAAGAAGACAGAGCUUUCAAAAUCAUUCUCACAUCCGAUGGAAAGUUCCCCAGCAUAUCAGCAGUUUCUUAACAGUAAGGUAUUUUAUUGUUCCUGCAUACAUUAUUCAUAGGCUAUUGCCAACACAAUUUUUAAACGCUCCAUUAAACAACCGGGCUACACAAUUCACUCAAAAAAGGACAUCAGAAAGCCGCUAAGUUUCUUGUAUUACAUUGUGAGCCCUCUACUUAUGUUGUCUAAAUUCGUCACCAUUUACCUCCCCUUGUCUGGAUUCCUUGGAAGAACUGUGGCAGCAAUAACUGAGCUAGGAAUAAAAGUCACAAAAUCCCACAUAGUCUGGGGGUGGGACUGGGUGCACUAGGAACUAGCGAGUUACGCGGGGGGAGUGGAGCCACACUUCCUCCUCCUCUUCUGAAGUGAUGCAUCACAUUGUCCUCAGCCACCUCCAAAGCUGCUGCUUGGCUCCAGCUCUGUCCUCUCCCCUUCUGUAAAACUCUCUUGUUAAAAACAUAGUUGACCACACUCUCUCUUGCAAUUGCAGACAUGGAAGCACCUCUGGCAGGAUCCCCACCUCUGUCCUGCCAGCCAUGAAGGAUCCCCACUACACCAUAGCCAGCCUGAGACCUUCAGGAUGGACAACUGACUGCUUCCAAAAAUAGAAAGGAUUUGCAGCAUCCACAGUGCUGCAGGUCCCUGUAACAGUCCCAGCUAAGACAGUGACACCCUGCUUCUACCCAAGGGUGACGAAGGCUGUUCCCAGCAGGGCACCUUGCAGGAGAAGGCACCAAGGCCUCGACUUGCUUGAUGCAGCCAAAGCAACGCCUUCUCCAGUCCAGCAGUCUCCAUCUAAAGAUGCAGGUAUGUUAGAGGACGAAAGGGAAGGGAUGGGGACUGUUCAUAUAUGGCUUCUGGGCAAAAUCAAACAGGGCUGUGCUAGACCAAGUAAGAGCUAGGUGUGGAGAGAGCGUGUUAUAGGAAUGAGAGCAUCACUUAAUGUCUUUAUAUGUCCCAUUCCGUUUCCCCAAGGUGAUGUGUGAAGCCCUAUGCUUAGUUUAGCCCUAACUUCAUUUAAGGGGAAAGGAGUGUCUGUCUCAGCCUGUAGUAUCACAUAAGUGCCAGAGUAGCUGCACAUCUCCAGGCUCACCUGAUCUGCAUCUGCAACCCCUAUGUAGUCAUGGAACCUGAGGAGAGAAGUCCUUAGGGCAAGGGAAUCUCCCACAGCUUACCACUAGCAACUGCUUACCCACUAAGGAGAAAAAAAAUCUAGAAUAAAAAUUACUAAUGAAGCAGACUCAGGAAGAACUUUUAUUAAGAUAUGACCAGUGAUGAGUGAACAAGAUGAGAAUUAAACCUCACAUAUCUGUAAUGCAAAUGUGCUGCUUGCUAAAACUGCCCUCCAACCUCAAGCUUUCAGCCCACUCACCUUUAGGCAGAAAAAAAGCAGCUCCUAACCAGAGGAAUAUCAGCCAUAACAAUUUUUAAGCAGGAUGCUCCUGCUUGCCUAGCAGAAUAAGCAGAAGCUUUCCUCCAAGGUGACUUCCAACCAGAGCAAGCACUGCUCACCAGCUGGAGCAGGACCGGCAGACACGCACAUUUUCACUGCCACAGCCCAACUCUGUCCAAGUCUGGACUCCAGCACCACCAGGACCCUGAAACACUACCCCACUGAGUACCUGGCACAAUACAUUAGAAGGUGUUUGGGCCACAGACUUCUGUAUUUGUGGGCACACUUCCCCCUUGGCACAUCUGCAUUGUGCAGCAACAGAGAUGACAGCUCUGCACAAUGCUGCAGACAUGCCAAACCCCCAGGGCCAUGGUGCACACCUGGCAGCCAGCACUAACAGCAGUCCUACCCGCCGUAUCUCCCAGCCUCCUCCCCGUGGUUCAUACCUCCAUGCACGAUUUCUUCCAGUUGUCAGCUGUGCAGCAGACCUGGAACUCAGUGUUUUAAGUAAACCGUCACGUUUCUUGUAAGAGGGUCUUAGUGGGGGUGAUGCAGGAGAUCAGGUUGUAGGUUGUACCUAAGAAGUCCGGGCCAUCUGCUGUAAUUAUGCACAAAGGCCAUAGCUUUGAAAACUGGAAAGAAAACCAUGUCACUCUUGGCUAUGUUCUUCUAGUAUCUUCCCUGUUCAGGCUGAUGCUGCAGAACAUUGGGAGAGAACAUGCGCUGUAGACAAAUCAAUUCACCUGGCUAAUUUGAUUAUGCCUUGAGUACUGCCCCUUAGACAGUGCCCCUGUCAGGAGCAGCAGAGAUAGUCACACUGUCUCCAAACACCUGAUCCAUCUAUGCAGCAAAAGGCAGGGCAGCACAGAUAAGACCUGGGCCCCAAGGAUAGCACCUCACCGUGGCCAGACUGACUGCCUACUGCUGUUCCCUUUAGCACCCAACUGGCUGAAGAAAGUCCACCGGCUCUACAGCCCACGCUCAGUCCUUCUCACACCAUAUGCAGCUCCACUUGCAGCCGUGCAGUGGUCAUGCCAUGCUCCCAGGCAGCAGAGAACACUAUUCCAAGCUGCCCAUUGUGGCUGCAGCACAGCCAACGCCAGAGCCAUCCCGCAGCUCCUUCAGGAGAAGAGCUAUGUGAAAACGCACCAAAGGCAACGUGCAAAGAACUGCUCCUUAACACACUGAAGGAUAUCAGCUCUGUGCUGCGAUCUCUCUGGAGGAUCAGACCAGCGCCUGCCAAAGCCCUCCCACAUCUAUAGCUGUGAUAAACAGCUGCAGCUCCGGUCACAGCUCCUGGUGUCAUCAUCUCUCCAGCAAUCUGCAGCCUCACGCCUGCGUUAGCUGCCUUUGGUGAAGCAAAGGGUCGGUAUGUCAAGGAUGAAGCCAGAGCAGAAGCGUGUUGUUACAUGACGAAAGAGCAAGAAAACACUGUUUUCAUGUACCACCCUGAGUUACCUUCUGAAAGCGUAGUUCCUGGUAUAGGUAAAGCCUUCUUUAAUUACAGCCUUCCCAGUGCAUGUGGUAAUCACUUGCCCUUUGCUGCAAGACCACCCCGAUUAACCAGCCCUGAGAGCCAAGUACUGUCACCUUUCAAUUACAAAACAAACUGCCAGUUUUCAGGCAUUCCAGCAUUGUCCCAGAGAAAGAUUUCAUUUCUGCAGUACAAGUACACAACUCACUGUAACCAAAGCAUUACUUCGAUGAAUUUAGCUUAUGGCACAGCAGCACUAAGAACCAGGCCUCUUCAGUUAUUUCUGAAAGGCACAAGGAAAAAAUAAGUCGUUUGGCCUUAGAAUAGUGUAAUUUACAGGCUACUUCCCUCUGUCUCUAAAGAUAAAAGUCAUCCCUAGGCUGCUGAUGAACUUACCAGGUAUACGCUAAUGACUGGGGGAAAAUUCAUCUGAGCAAUCAGACAACGUGAGCUGUUGUGCAGCACUGGCAAGGGAACGUAAAAGUUUCGAACCUUGGCUCUGAGAGUUAAAGACGGGGGGGAAAACCGGACCGCUACCUUUCUAUCUAUGAGAGUAAACAUGGAGGGGUGGCGGGGAUCUGGAUAGCCAGCAGCCACAACUUUUCACAUCAGGAUGAUGACAGUCACACAAGGAUACGGGAUACCAACCACAGGAGUUUGGUGCCAGGCAACUCUACUGACAGACAGCUCUUCUUACCGCACCUGCUGCUGCUGCUGCAUUCAGC